GGGGUGCUCGAGUGGCGAACGGGUGAGUAACACGUGAGUAACCUGCCCUUGACUUUGGGAUAACUUCAGGAAACUGGGGCUAAUACCGGAUAGGAGCUCCUGCUGCAGGGUGGGGGUUGGAAAGUUUCGGCGGUUGGGGAUGGACUCGCGGCUUAUCAGCUUGUUGGCGGGGUAGUGGCUUACCAAGGCUUUGACGGGUAGCCGGCCUGAGAGGGUGACCGGCCACAUUGGGACUGAGAUACGGCCCAG
rnacentral:rRNA from 1 species